UGGAAUUGUAACUGUAUUUGACUUUAACUUUCGCCUCAAGUAUAUCUGUUGGGCUUUUUUUUUCGAAUUUCCAAAUCCCAAACUUUCAAGUUGGAAUGAAAAAGGUGGCGUCCUCGGCCCAGGACCUUAUACCCAGCCUGGACAACCAAAUCAGGUUUACUUGAAGGACAGGAUACAUCGUGGAGACGGCCAUCCUUCAGGACCUCUUGGGCCUCCUUCUCCCUGAGGUGGCU